rnacentral:rRNA from 1 species
GACGAACGCUGGCGGCGUGCUUAACACAUGCAAGUCGAACGGAAAGGCCCCCUUGUGGGGUACUCGAGUGGCGAACGGGUGAGUAACACGUGAGUAACCUACCCUUGACUUUGGGAUAACUUCAGGAAACUGGGGCUAAUACCGGAUAGGAGCUCCUGCUGCAUGGUGGGGGUUGGAAAGUUUCGGCGGUUGGGGAUGGACUCGCGGCUUAUCAGCUUGUUGGUGGGGUAGUGGCUCACCAAGGCUUUGACGGGUAGCCGGCCUGAGAGGGUGACCGACCACAUUGGGACUGAGAUACGGCCCAGACUCCUACGGGAGGCAGCAGUGGGGAAUAUUGCACAAUGGGCGGAAGCCUGAUGCAGCAACGCCGCGUGCGGGAUGACGGCCUUCGGGUUGUAAACCGCUUUCGCCUGUGACGAAGCGUGAGUGACGGUAAUGGGUAAAGAAGCACCGGCUAACUACGU